UGAUGCAUUUGAUAUCCUUUUACUUCAGAUUAUUGAGCGGAAAUCUGAUCUGGCUAGGCUAGAGGCACUUGAUUGCGGGAAGCCUCUUGAUGAAGCGGCAUGGGACAUGGACGAUGUUGCCGGCUGCUUUGAGUUCUUCGUAGGUCAUGCUGAAGCCUUGGACAAAAGGAAAAAUGCUGCAGUUGCUCGCUCGGAGAAUUUUAAAUGCCAUCUUAAGAAGGAACCUAUUGGUGUAGUUGCUCUAAUCACACCAUGGAACUAUCCUCUCCUGAUGGCUGUAUGGAAGGUUGCCCCUAG